rnacentral:rRNA from 1 species
AGUGAACGCUGGCGGUAGGCCUAACACAUGCAAGUCGAACGGCAGCACAGUAAGAGCUUGCUCUUACGGGUGGCGAGUGGCGGACGGGUGAGGGAUACAUCGGAAUCUACUUUUUCGUGGGGGAUAACGUAGGGAAACUUACGCUAAUACCGCAUACGACCUACGGGUGAAAGCAGGGGAUCUUCGGACCUUGCGCGAUUGAAUGAGCCGAUGUCGGAGUAGCUAGUUGGCGGGGUAAAGGCCCACCAAGGCGACGUUCCGUAGCUGGUCUGAGAGGAUGAUCAGCCACACUGGGACUGAGACACGGUCCAGACUCCUACGGGAGGCAGCAGUGGGGAAUAUUGGACAAUGGGCGCAAGCCUGAUCCAGCCAUACCGCGUGGGUGAAGAAGGCCUUCGGGUUGUAAAGCCCUUUUGUUGGGAAAGAAAAGCAGCAGGUUAAUACCCCGCUGUUCUGACGGUACCCAAAGAAUAAGCACCGGCUAACUUCGUG